rnacentral:rRNA from 1 species
GUCGGGAGCGAGGGAGCGGACGGGUGCCGGACCCCCAAUAAGGGCCGCGCCCCGGCCCGUGGUUUCUCUCGAGCCCGACGCAUUUCCCCCCGCACCGAGGACGCCGCGACCGAUCGGGAGUCGGCCUUAGAGCGACUCCAGGAGGUGACCGGAGGCGGGGCCCCGUGCCACGCCACCGGUUUUUAACGGAGUCGCGAGUGGCGCGACGCCCGAUCGAGGUCGAGGUUCCCCCCACGGGGAACAACCACGUCUCCUGCCUCGCUGGCAGCGGAGCAUCGGGCCAGCGUCGGCCGUCGCCCACCGAACCACUCCCCGCAGUGGCCGGUGCGACGGUCGGCGUCCGCUGGGUCCGAGCGACCGCGGAGGGAAGACGACUGGUCGGCGGCGAGUAGGUCGGUCACCCACCCGACCCGUCUUGAAACACGGACCAAGGAGUCUAACAUGUGCGCGAGUCGCAGGGUCUUGUUCAGGCCCUCGGGCGCAAUGAAAGUGAAGGUCCCCGGACCGAGUUGGGACUCCCMRAUUAAGUUGGGGAAGCACCAACGACCCGUCCCCUCCGAUCAGUCGGUCGGGCGGAGUUGGAGCGCACACGUUGGGACCCGAAAGAUGGUGAACUAUGCCUGGGCAGAACGAAGCCAGAGGAAACUCUGGUGGAGGUUCGUAGCGGUCUGACGU